GAAGCCGUCUACUACUACCAAAAUCUGAAGAAGUAGCGUUAGGAUUAUCUACCACAGAGGUCACACCAGUAACCUGAGAAGAUCGAGGAGGAACAGCCGUCGCCUGCUUAAUCUCCACCUAAUUCGGACCAUAGGAGCGGUCCGAUUGUCAGCGACCAGCGAUCUGAGAGAGUGGGACGAACUGAAAAUUCCAACGCAAUAACAGAAGACCAACACCUGAGUGCAGAAAGCCAUUUACCGUUCAGUGAUAUCGUGAUCAGUAUGGAAGAGGUCCUCUACAUCUGAACUCAGCACAUUAUGUCGGGUGAAGAAAUAUUAUGAAAGACAUGUACUUUACAAUUACAAAUCUGGAUUAUUCCAUGUCUAAAUCUGGCUGUAAAAUAAAUGUCUUAUCUAGAAAA